rnacentral:sRNA from 1 species
GGGGGCGUAACUGGUUUCGACGGGAAAGAUUUUGAGGGGAAAAGCGUGUGGCAGCCGGUUGCCAUAAAACGGAAAACAAAAUAAACGCAGAUAAUAGAAAUCUUGCUGUUGCUGCUUAGUUAGCGCAACUGUCCUUAGCAAAAAUUCCUGCAUUUUUGCCAAAGGGCAUCAAACUUUCGCAGGGAACUUCAAAAGCUUCGCCUUAAAGUUUUUGAAAGAAAAAACAAGGAUUUGCUUUAAACAAGUUUUGUUCGUUACUUAUUUAAAGCAAAAUUGAAACGAACUACACACGUAGAAAAGCCACUGCAAACUUUUUCGGACGUGGGUUCAACUCCCACCGCUUCCACCA